GAUGAACGCUGGCGGCAUGCUUAAUACAUGCAAGUCGAACGGGGUGGCUUGCCACUCCGUGGCGAACGGGUGAGUAACACGUAGACAAUCUGCCUUCAAGUGGGGGAUAACCAGAAGAAAUUUUGGAUAAUACCGCAUAGAUAUCAACUUCGGCAUCAAGGAUGGUAGAAAGGUCCCCACAGGACCGCUUGAAGAUGAGUCUGCGGCGCAUUAGCUAGUUGGUGAGGUAACGGCCCACCAGGGCAACGAUGCGUAGCCGACCUGAGAGGGUGAACGGCCAAAUUGGGACUGAGACACGGCCCAGACUCCUACGGGAGGCAGCAGUAGGGAAUUUUCGGCAAUGGGGGAAACCCUGACCGAGCAAUGCCGCGUGAAGGAUGAAGAAUUUCGGUUUGUAAACUUCUGUUAUAUGGAACGAAAAAGUGGAGUAGGAAAUGGCUCCAUAUUGACGGUACCAUAUUAGAAAGCCACGGCUAACUACGUGCCAGCAGCCGCGGUAAAAC
rnacentral:rRNA from 1 species